CUCUGACGUGAUGAGUCAUUACCGCCCCAGUCUGAUGUAACGCUGACUGAUUGGUUACGCUCUGAUCAAGU
rnacentral:snoRNA from 1 species